rnacentral:tRNA from 1 species
GGCGUGUUCGUCUAGUGGUCAGGACGUCGGAUUCUCAAUCCGGAAACACGGGUUCGAUCCCCGUACGCGCUA